rnacentral:rRNA from 1 species
AGAGUUUGAUCCUGGCUCAGGAUAAACGCUGGCGGCGCACAUAAGACAUGCAAGUCGAACGGACUUAAUCGAUUCUUUUAGAUUCGAAGCGGUUAGUGGCGGACUGGUGAGUAACACGUAAGCAACCUGCCUAUUAGAGGGGAAUAACAGUGAGAAAUCACUGCUAAAACCGCAUAUGCCGUGAACAUCGCAUGAUGAAAACGGGAAAAGAGCAAUCUGCUAAUAGAUGGGCUUGCGUCUGAUUAGCUAGUUGGUGUGGUAAUGGCAUACCAAGGCAACGAUCAGUAGCCGGACUGAGAGGUUGAACGGCCACAUUGGGACUGAGAUACGGCCCAGACUCCUACGGGAGGCAGCAGUCGGGAAUAUUGCGCAAUGGAGGAAACUCUGACGCAGUGACGCCGCGUAUGGGAAGAAGGUUUUCGGAUUGUAAACCAUUUUAGACAAGGAAGAAACAAGACAGUACUUGUAGAAUAAGCUCCGGCUAACUACGUGCCAGCAGCCGCGGUAAUACGUAGGGAGCAAGCGUUAUCCGGAUUUAUUGGGUGUAAAGGGUGCGUAGACGGGAAGGUAAGUUAGUUGUGAAAUCCCUCGGCUCAACUGAGGAACUGCGACUAAAACUGCUUUUCUUGAGUGCUGGAGAGGAAAGUGGAAUUCCUAGUGUAGCGGUGAAAUGCGUAGAUAUUAGGAGGAACACCAGUGGCGAAGGCGACUUUCUGGACAGUAACUGACGUUGAGGCACGAAAGUGUGGGGAGCAAACAGGAUUAGAUACCCUGGUAGUCCACACCGUAAACGAUGGAUACUAGGUGUAGGGGAUAUUAAGUCUUCUGUGCCGUCGCAAACGCAGUAAGUAUCCCACCUGGGGAGUACGGCCGCAAGGUUGAAACUCAAAGGAAUUGACGGGGGCCCGCACAAGCAGUGGAGUAUGUGGUUUAAUUCGACGCAACGCGAAGAACCUUACCAAGUCUUGACAUCCCUUGACGAACAUAGAAAUAUGUUUUCUCUUCGGAGCAAGGAGACAGGUGGUGCAUGGUUGUCGUCAGCUCGUGUCGUGAGAUGUUGGGUUAAGU